ACCUUUGUUGAUGAUUAUUUUGCACUGGGAAGAUUUUGCCUAAUGCCUCUCUGCAUAUAACACUUGAAGGAAAGUAUUCGUUUGCUUGAAAGCAAAAGGAUAAACUUGAGAAAAGAGAAGAGGAAGGGUCCUUACAUGCUGCCUUCCAACCACCCCCUCCCCACAUUGCCAAAAGAAAGAUACAAGACUUUUAAAAAGUAAUUGGAGCCGGGAGCGGUGGCUCACGCCUGUAAUCCCAGCACUUUGGGAGGCCGAGGCGGGAGGAUCACAAGGUCAAGAGAUCGAGACCAUCCUGGCCAACAUGGUGAAACCCCGUCUCUACUAAAAAUAGAAAAAUUAGCUGAGCGUGGUGGCGC
rnacentral:lncRNA from 10 species